AUGUGAAGUAGAGAAGCAAGAUAGAGGGUGCAUCAUCCAUACUUAUGAGUUAGGGGGCAACUUUUAGCAUGAGGACUGGAUGUAUGAAGGAAUGAGAGAAGAGGGAAGGAGAGAGGGAGGGAAUGAGAGAAAAGGAGAAGGAGAGAGGGAGAGAAUGAGAGAAAAGGAGAAGGAGAGAGGGAGAGAAUGAGAGAAGAGGGAAGGAGAGAGGAAGAGAAUGAGAGAAAAUGGGAGGAGAGAGGUAGAGAAUGAGAGAAAAGGAGAAGGAGAGAGGGAGAGAAUGAGUGAAAAGGAGAAGGAGAGAGGGAGAGAAUGAGUGAAAAGGAGAAGAAGAGAGGGAGAGAAUGAGUGAAAAGGAGAAGGAGAGAGAAUGAGUGAAAAGGAGAAGGAGAGAGAAUGAGUGAAAAGGAGAAGAAGAGAGGGAGAGAAUGAGUGAAAAGGAGAAGGAGAGAGGGAGAGAAUGAGUGAAAAGGAGAAGGAGAGAGGGAGAGAAUGAGUGAAAAGGAGAAGGAGAGAGGGAGAGAAUGAGUGAAAAGGAGAAGGAGAGAGGGAGAGAAUGAGUGAAAAGGAGAAGGAGAGAGGGAGAGAAUGAGUGAAAAGGAGAAGGAGAGAGGGAGAGAAUGAGUGAAAAGGAGAAGGAGAGAGGGAGAGAAUGAGUGAAAAGGAGAAGGAGAGAGGGAGAGAAUGAGUGAAAAGGAGAAGGAGAGAGGGAGAGAAUGAGUGAAAAGGAGAAGGAGAGAGGGAGAGAAUGAGUGAAAAGGAGAAGGAGAGAGAAUGAGUGAAAAGGAGAAGGAGAGAGAAUGAGUGAAAAUGGGAGGAGAGGGAAAGAAUGGGUGAAAAGGAGAAGGAGAGAGGGAGAGAAUGAGUGAAAAGGAGAAGGAGAGAGGGAGAGAAUGAGUGAAAAGGAGAAGGAGAGAGGGAGAGAAUGAGUGAAAAGGAGAAGGAGAGAGGGAGAGAAUGAGUGAAAAGGAGAAGGAGAGAGGGGGAGAAUGAGUGAAAAUGGGAGGAGAGGGAAAGAAUGGGUGAAAAGGAGAAGGAGAGAGGGAGAGAAUGAGUGAAAAGGAGAAGGAGAGAGGGAGAGAAUGAGAGAAAAGGAGAAGGAGAGAGGGAGAGAAUGCGUGAAAAGGAGAAGGAGAGAGGGAGAGAAUGAGAGAAAAUGAGAAGAAGAGAGGGAGAGAAUGAGUGAAAAGGAGAAGGAGAGAGAAUGAGUGAAAAUGAGAAGGAGAGAGGGAGAGAAUGAGUGAAAAGGAGAAGGAGAGAGGGAGAGAAUGAGUGAAAAGGAGAAGGAGAGAGGGAGAGAAUGAGAGAAAAGGAGAAGGAGAGAGGGAG